GACGAACGCUGGCGGCGUGCCUAAUACAUGCAAGUCGAACGCAUUUUCUUUCACCGUAGCUUGCUACACCGAAAGAAAAUGAGUGGCGAACGGGUGAGUAACACGUGGGUAACCUGCCCAUCAGCGGGGGAUAACACUUGGAAACAGGUGCUAAUACCGCCUAAUUCCAUUUCCCGCAUGGUAAAUGGAUGAAAGGCGCUUUUGCGUCACUGAUGGAUGGACCCGCGGUGCAUUAGCUAGUUGGUGGGGUAACGGCCUACCAAGGCUGCGAUGCAUAGCCGACCUGAGAGGGUGAUCGGCCACACUGGGACUGAGACACGGCCCAGACUCCUACGGGAGGCAGCAGUAGGGAAUCUUCGGCAAUGGACGCAAGUCUGACCGAGCAACGCCGCGUGAGUGAAGAAGGUUUUCGGAUCGGAAAACUCUGUUGUUAGAGAAGAACAAGGAUGAGAGUGGAAAGUUCAUCCCUUGACGGUAUCUAACCAGAAAGCCACGGCUAACUACGUG
rnacentral:rRNA from 1 species